GGCAUGGGAGGUUAGUUGAGAGGGGAGUAGGGUUGAGGUUUAACUGAGGGACAACAAGUUGGUUGGGAGGCUAGAAACCAAGAAAAUCUGCUCUUUAUCUAAGCUGUCCUAUGAAUAGAUUUCCUAAUGGUAGCCGUUUCCCAUUGACUCGAGCCACAGGACAGUGUGGACACCUGACAAAUAGGUUUCUCAAUUUCUUCUGGCAUAAUUGCACUUUGCGAAGAAGCAUAGAAAACUACAAAUAGAGUGGUGGAAAACGCCUGUAUCAAAAAAAGGGACUGCAGUUAAAAGCUAGGGCUAGGACUUGGAGGAUGUGUAGGCAAUCGGAAGGAGAGCCGGGGGAAGAAAAACCGAAAUGGAUUCAUUCUCUGUCCUGGAUGGAGGAGGAGAAGAGAGGAGAGGAGAGGAGAAGGGGACGAGCAAGCUUCCUCCGACGGGCGCUGUCCGGUGCAAAGUGAUCACCCCCGCGGGGCUGAGCGCAGCCCGGGAGCCCAGGCGGACUUUCGCUGGAUCCUGCCAAUCACACCGCUUUUCCUCGACAACACCCCGAGCUGGCAUGGACAUAGUCCAAAGGAUAUCCCGGCGUUGAAGAAACCUCUUCAGCUUUACACCCAGUGCCUUAUCACCAUCAGAAGUGGAAGAAGAACCUUAAAUGAAUGCAUAACAGCGGUUAAGCAACAAUUUGAAUAUUCAUAUUUUACUCUUCAAACAACAGCAACAAAAGAUACUUCAAAACCAUGUGCGAGACAAAACAACAUUAAACUUGCAAUCAUUAAACCUCUGUUUAACCCUA